rnacentral:piRNA from 1 species
UGAUGUGUCCUGUCCUGUAAAUUCAC